UACGUAGGGGGCAAGCGUUGUCCGGAAUCAUUGGGCGUAAAGCGCGUGUAGGCGGCUUGAUAAGUCCGCUCUGAAAGCCCGGGGCUCAACCCCGGGAGGCGGGUGGAUACUGUCAAGCUCGAGUCCGGAAGAGGCGAGUGGAAUUCCUGGUGUAGCGGUGAAAUGCGCAGAUAUCAGGAGGAACACCAAUGGCGAAGGCAGCUCGCUGGGACGUGACUGACGCUGAGACGCGAAAGCGUGGGGAGCAAACAGG
rnacentral:rRNA from 1 species